CCGCUUUAAAAGUUUUAAACAUUAUUUUUUUCACUUCUUCCUCACACCCCACCACCCCAUUUCUUCUUCUUCCUCACCCACACCACUCCCAUGUCUUCAAUCAUGGAGCAUAAAAAAUCUUCAAUCAAAAAUUUCUCUUUUUUUACUCCUAUCCACCAAAAAUCUUCAAUCAAAUACACAAUAAUAAAAUACACAAAUUAUACAACAAAUAAAUUUUCAUAUAAAGACCAAGAACAACAAAUUAAACUAAAAAAUACAUAAAAGCCAUUGUGAAAAGCACAACACAUGGUGUUAGUCUUUGUCACUCCCUUCUUCUUCUACUUCCCAAACUAAAACUUUUUUUUUCAGUUCAUAGGCUUCUCUCUUCUCCAUUUUCAACACAAAUCGACAAUCCCUACCACUUAAUUUUCGAUCAUCGCUACCAAUUUUCAACUAUAAACAAUUAAUCAAAAGGGUCUCCACUAUAUAUUGUUUUUAUUUUUGAGUUCGUUUUUACUUGAUUUGGGUAUGUUUUGUUAUGUGUUUUUCGGUUAGAUUAUGAAUUUGAUUUGUUUUGUUGGGCAUUGAUCUGUUUUGGUGUUUCGGGUGAUCGUUGGAGUGUUCAAAAUUGAAUUUAGAUUGGUUUUCUUGAUGUGGAUAUGACUGAUUUUAAUCUGUAUACGUAUGUGGGUGUGGAGGAG
rnacentral:lncRNA from 1 species